rnacentral:rRNA from 1 species
AAGCGAAUGAUUAGCGUAUUUGGGGACGUUUAGUUUUCAGACGAUUCUCAAACUUUCAAUGCGCAAGGGUGUUGCUGCUUAAUUGAGCUUCACCGGUAAAAACGUCGGCCCUGUGGGCCACUUUUGGUAAGCAGAACUGGCGAUACGGGAUGAACCGUAAGCACGGUUAAGGUGCCAAACUACUCGCUUAUAGAUCCCACAAAAGGUGUUGAUUCAUCGAGACAGCAGGACGGUGGCCAUGGAAGUCGGAAUCCGCCAAGGAGUGUGUAACAACUCACCUGCCGAAUGAAUUAGCCCUGAAAAUGGAUGGCGCUUAAGCGGGUGACCGACACCGUGCCGUCUGAAUGAUAUAUUUCAGAUGAGUAGGAGGACGUGGUGAUUGUGACGAAGUAUACGUGCAAACGUAUAUGAAACAAUCACUAGUGCAGAUCUUGGUGGUAGUAGCAAAUAUUCAAGCGAGAUCCUUGAAGGGCGAAGCGGGGAAGGGUUCCACGCUAACAUUGAUUGGGCGUGGGUGAGUCGUUCCUAAGCCGAGUGGCAAUUGCUAAGUAGCGGCGAAAGGGAAGCGGGUUUACAUUCCCGCACACGGAUGUGGAGGCGGUGACGCUUUAUUGGGGCGAACACGCUGGCGAUGGCGCUGGGCAGAGUUGUCUUUUCUGUUUGACCGUUUGCGCAUGCGGUGUGGAGUCCGCUUGUCGGGAGAAACACGCAUGCGCGGGCAGAGCGCCGGGGCUUAUCCGGCGUCCAGCUCGCCAUCGACGGCCCUUGAAACUUUGUCUGCUGAUUUUAGAAUCCACGCCGUGGCGUACCGAUCACCGCAUCAGGUCCCCAAGGUGAACAGCCUCUGCUCAAUAUGAAAAAUGCAGGUAAGGGAAGUCGGCAAAUUAGACCCGUAACUUUGGGAAAAGGGUUGGCUCUAGUGCUGCGUGGGAGUGGUUGUUAAGUUGUGGCGCUAUUGAAGGUACUGAUUUGCGUGAUACUUCGGUAUUAUUCAGUUGGAACCAUUGGUAGUGCUGCUCUUGACGACGCCCACAGCAUGCAGCAAACUAGAACUGCAACGGGCAAAGGGAAUCCGACUGUUUAAUAAAACAAAGCAUGCGA